CACGGGACAUUACUGAUUGCUUAAUUGCACCACAUGUGUUGUUCUUUGAAACAGACUUGCUUUGGCGGUGGGCCCAGCCUGCCGCCAGAGGUCUAAACUUACAACCAAUUUUUUAUCAGCUUGUCACACCAGAUUAUUACUAAUAGUCAAAACUUUCAACAACGGAUCUCUUGGUUCUCGCAUCGAUGAAGAACGCAGCGAAAUGCGAUACGUAAUAUGAAUUGCAGAUAUUCGUGAAUCAUCGAAUCUUUGAACGCACAUUGCGCCCUCUGGUAUUCCGGAGGGCAUGCCUGUUUGAGCGUCGUUUCUCCCUCAAACCGCUGGGUUUGGUGUUGAGCAAUACGACUUGGGUUUGCUUGAAAGACGGUAGUGGUAAGGCGGGAUCGCUUUGACAAUGGCUUAGGUCUAACCAAAAACAUUGCUUGCGGCGGUAACGUCCACCACGUAUAUCUUCAAACUUUGACCUCAAAUCAGGUAGGACUACCCGCUGAACUUAAGCAUAUCAAUAAGCGGAGGAAAAGAAACCAACCA
rnacentral:rRNA from 1 species